UACGUAGGGUGCAAGCGUUGUCCGGAAUUAUUGGGCGUAAAGAGCUCGUAGGCGGUUUGUCGCGUCGGCUGUGAAAGCCCGGAGCUCAACUCCGGGUCUGCAGUCGAUACGGGCAGACUUGAGUGUUGCAGGGGAGACUGGAAUUCCUGGUGUAGCGGUGAAAAUGCGCAGAUAUCAGGAGGAACACCGGUGGCGAGGGCGGGUCUCUGGGCAACAACUGACGCUGAGGAGCGAAAGCGUGGGGAGCGAACAGG
rnacentral:rRNA from 1 species